GCUCCGCCGCCCCAAGCUCCCGUCUCGUCCGUAGCUAGGCUCGCCCGCACCGCCCCCUCGCAUACUCUUCUCGUGUGCGGGUGCGCGACGCCGACUACAGGCGCUGCUGCUAGACCCGCGACUUCUCGCCUUUGAGGCCAAGGACGCGCUCGACGACUUCCUCCAGGCUCACCGCGCCGGCCGCCUCACACGUCCUUCCCAGCCCCCAUCGCUCACCCUGGGAGCCGCCUCCAUCUCGAGCACGCGUCCCCUCCUCCGGAAGAACAUAAUACACACAAAAUCCCAUCCACGCCGGCGGCGUUGAGUCGUGCUGCCGCCCAUCUCCGUCGCGGCGGCCGGUUGCUCACUUGCUCUGCUCCACCUUCUUUUGGAGAGGGUCGCCCCGCAGGUGUUUGUAGGAUUGCGUGAGCGACCUUUUGGAGCUUAGGCAUAGCCAUGGCCACCGGUGUGGCAGCAGCUCUGCUCUCGCAUGCGAGGGUCCGUGAUGGCGGCAUCGGCUUCAAAACGAGGGUCGACUUCACCAAGGACAUGUCCAUCCUUGGUGCACUGAGGACAGGCUCCUCAAGAGGGGUCUCAUGGUGAAGAGCUCAAGCACAGAGUCUGAUGCUAUUGAGCUCGAGCUGGAUUCCGAAGGAAGCCCACUUCUAGGAUCCUCUUUAUUAUUUUAACUCGUUAAAGGAAUUACAUCAGAAACGAGGAGGGAAACAAUAUAUGGGGGAGGAUCAUCGAGCCAGACUUGAGGGUCACCACCUUUUGCUUUCAGAGUCGGCCACUGGCAAGGCAAUAGCACAGCAGCCAGGGUGGAAGAGGCAGCCCUGUCCUUCAUCGUCUGAAUGACCUCCCAAUUGUCAGCAUUGAGAUAUACACGAUUGCAUCCCACAGUUUGUGAUAGCUCAAGGCCCAGGCGCAGAGCCAAAGAUUCGGCCACAUGGGCGGCACAGCACGGAAUAUUUUCGCCGGCCGCCGCCACGAAGCAGCCUUUGUCAUCUCGGAUAACAACCCCCAGAGAGCCUGACAAGGUGUCAAUGUCGAAGGAGGCAUCGACGUUCAGCUUGAACGUACCAGAGUUAGAAGUCCAGCCAUGAUGUUUGAUUUAAGCCUAAGCUUGAUGGGCAAUAGAGAAUUUAGCAACCAUCACCUUAAUGCUAAUGGCAGAAUGCUCUGGUUUCUGAAUAUGAUGUCCAUGAACGAGUUGCGUUCUCUCCCACCAAAGAUACCCGUAGGUAACAGCAAAAGUAUCAACCGACAAACUCAAGGACAGAAGUAUCACGCCAGCGAUUCAUAACGAGAAACUCAAGGACAGCAGAGCCAGAUCUGUCAGUAAGGCACACCUUCUGAAUUUCUGGACAGCAGAGCCAAAUCCGUCAGUAAGGCACGCCUUCUGAAUUUCCGAAAGCAAGCCAAGAAUUCUCCAGACUUCACGAGCUUUUAAACUCAUUACAACUCAACAUUUAACAUGUUAUCAGCACGCACUGUCCAGAGAGCAAAAUCAAAGGCCAUUCAUAGAGCACGCUCAGGAGGAAGAAGAACAAAGGUAGGAUGCCAACUGUUCAACACCAUGUUCAUCCCGUGUAUCUUGACAGAGCACGCUCAGGAGGAAGAAGAACAAAGGGAGGAUGCCAACUGUUCUCAACGUGUUCAUCCGGUGUAUUGAGUGGUUGGUUGUGCCACUGAACACCAACGCCAAGAUGGACCGAGUGCCGUAGACCCUGCACCACCAGGGUGGUGCCUGGGACCACCAACACCGGCAAAGGAGAUAGCAUCUCCGCAACCCCGGCACGGGCCUGCCGAUCCACGGCUUCGGUCUAUCGCACAUGGAACUGUCGACAGACUAGGCACUUGCCUAUGUCUCAGCGCCAACGACCUCCUUCCUUUGUCGCCACGGUCCAGCAUCAGCCGCCCAUCUCCCGGUCCGGGAUAAUUGCAGCGCUCUCCCGCGACAUGGGGUCCGCCUGACCUCCCAACAUGGGGUCUGCCUUAUGCACUCACCAAUCAUAGGAAAGAAGAAAACGAUUGUCAUAAAUAAAGAGACAUCCUAGGUUACAUCAGAAAGGCAAGCACAGGAAACAACAGGUCAACGCUGCUUCGAGGGAACUAGUCUAUUGGAAACCGACCAGAGAUCCUCCAUGACCAGAUGACUAAGCACAAAAACAUAGAGUCAAAGCAAAACAAACCAAUAAAGAUCAAAUUUCAAAAGAGGAAGGAAAGAAAGCUAAUCUGCCAAUUUUGUUACCCCCUCCGACCCACAUUAUUUGUCUCAAAUUUGUCCAAAUAUGGAUGUAUCUAUAUUUAAAAAGUGUCUAGAUACAUGUAAUAUUUCGACAAGUAAUAUGGAUCAGAGGGAGUACAAGUUUGGAUAAGGCCAAAGCAUUAGGAAAGGAUGGCAAGGUUUGCGUAUUUCAUUUGAUAGUAUGCUACAAUUGUUUCCUUGCAGACUAAGCAUGAGCAGGUACAAUUUUACUUCAUGAAAUUGUAUAACAACAAUUUACCUGCCAUUGGAUUUUUGUUUCCCCAAGUUUUGUCAACAUAUGUACCAUACAGCUUAAGAUUAUAUUAGUACAAUAUUCACCAACUUAUGGAACCCAAAAGUAAAAAACCACCAUUGACACAAUGGAAGGAAAUGCAUGAGCUCUCUAUAAUCAAAGUAAAUUAUACAAAACAUGAAAC